AUGGCAUCUUGGCAGCCAGCGAUGCCCUGGGACGUGCUGGUUCCCCACCUGGCCCAGGGCGUUGGGUGCUUUGUCCCCCUACACCUCCCUGAGCUCCACAUGCCUAUUAGAGGGAUGCAGGAAUCUUCUAGAAGCUUGAGGGUCAGCCCUCUGCGGGGCACCUCCUUCACACGAGAGCUGUUCCUGCACGGUCGGCCCCGUGCUGAUUUUCAAUCGGGGUUCGGGGCCUUCCAGUCCACUAGGGGACGCGGCCGGGUCACUGGCCAGCAGGGGUCAGCAUGCCGGGGAAGGGGCCGGGGCUGGUGUGACCCGGCAGUGGCCCCUGUGGUUCCAGGCCCUGAAGGACCCCACCCUGGCGGCGCGGAAGGACUUCCAGCGGGAGGCGGAACUGCUCACCAACCUGCAGCACGAGCACAUCGUCAAGUUCUACGGGGUCUGCGGAGACGGCGACCCCCUCAUCAUGGUCUUCGAGUACAUGAAGCAUGGCGACCUGAACAAGUUCCUCAGGGCCCAUGGGCCGGACGCGAUGAUCCUGGUGGACGGGCAGCCGCGCCAGGCCAAGGGUGAGCUGGGGCUCUCGCAGAUGCUGCACAUCGCCAGUCAGAUCGCCUCGGGCAUGGUGUACCUGGCCUCCCAGCACUUCGUGCACCGGGACCUGGCCACCAGGAACUGCCUGGUCGGCGCCAACCUGCUGGUGAAGAUCGGCGACUUCGGCAUGUCCCGGGACGUGUACAGCACGGAUUACUACAGGGUAAGGCGGCCUCGCCGGCUGCAGUCCUCCAUGCCUUGCUAGCUGUCUUCGUUGUUGUCCAUUAACCCUGUCACUCGGUGCACACGGAUGCACACGCUUGCCCGGGCAUGCACUGGACGGCUCUCUCUAGCCACUCCCGCCUCCUAACGUACGUGUGCAGUUUCUUCGGGGUACCCUCCUACUCCUUUCCUCUCCGCCGUCUGCCUGGGCCCUCCCAUCCGCAUUGUGUCUCUGGCUGCACGGGUGCUGACUCUUCAUGCCAACAGACUCAUGUGUGUAGCCCAGAUGCCCGCUGGACAAGCCCAGCGUGGCGCCACAUCUAACCAUCUACCACCCAGUUCCCACCACGCCUCACCCACAUGCCUCUCACUCUCUGAAACGCUCCAGUGGCCAAUCGUAGCCCCCAUGGGACGUAGAUCAAGCAGGAGGCGGGUAGUGCUGGCAGAGCCCCCGGCUUGGGAGGGGCGGGGGGCGUGUGCUCAGACGCCCCCGUGGCGAGAGGACGGCAGGCCUCCAGCGAGCUUUCUGCUCAUGCUGGGGUCUUAUGCGCUGGCAGCGGCCUCUGUUAGCAGGUGUCCAGUGCUCCCAGCAUCACGCCCCCUCCUGUGGGUCCCUGAGUGGUUCUGACAGUGUCGUCAUCACCAGGCAAAGGACACGUGGCCCCAAAUGCUGUAGUUCCAGGAGGGGGAUGUGGUGUGGCUUGGGACAAGAUGGGAUGGCCCCACAUGCUGAGUGGGGAGAGGCCCGAAGCGUGGACCGUUUGCCUUGGGGGCAUUGAAGGGGCGUGGGUAGCAGGUGCUAGCAAGCGGGGGCCAU
rnacentral:lncRNA from 1 species